UCCCGCUCUGCCGGGCUGCCGCGCUCUGCCCGCGGCUGACGUCAAGGGCCCAAAUUCCUGCCUUUCCCUGCAGGCAGAUUUGUCCAUUAGCUGUUCGGUGUCUGCAUCUGCCCUGAAGAGAACUGGAAGACAGAAGGGUUACAUUGUGUUCAGGCUGUGGAGGGGAGCGUUGCCAAGCCUAAUUCAUUUGGAAAGAGAUUUCUGGGAUGAUUGUUCCUGAUUGAGAGACGCUGGUGUGCUGCCUGGUGGAAGGAAUCUGGGAACAGCAGUGGGCCAAGCUUUGUCAUUCCCCACUUUGCAGUACUCUGGAGCUUUGUGCCUCAGUGCACCAUCUAUAAAAGGAGACAACAGCCCUUCCUAACCUCUGGGAGAUCACACCAGGCUAUGAAAGUGAUGGACUCCUUACCUCCAUUAGUUACCCUCAGAACUCCAUAUAUCACCUUACAGCACGCUACUCCAUUUGCUCCGUCCGACUUUGGGACACAGAGUCAAUGCAGGGCACCUCAGUAUCCCUGGGCUCAGCCAUCCCUGAAUGUGCAUUUCUUCACACCAUCAAAAACUUGGAUCACCAAGGAGACAGCCCAGCCCCGCUGCCAGUGAGGUGACAGAUCCCUGGCACUGGAGCUGGGCUCAAACUGCUCAUGAGCUGCUUGUGGCUGGAGAGGAAUGUCUGCAGAGAGCUAAACCAGAUUGCUCACAGAUCUCUUCCAAAUUGUCUCUAAUCUAGUGGACAAUUUGAGAGUAAACGUGCACUGGAAGCACCAUCUUCCCUUCAGAGUAUUAACCUGAGAACACUUAGUUUGUGGCUGCAGUGGAGAAACCUUAGGAUCUCAUUGGUGCCUUGGCAAGUCCUCAAGAUGUCAGAGUCACCUAUAUUCUGGGUCAAUUCUGUGUAUUCUGUCUCCUUUCUCAGAACACUUCAAGUAUCUGAUGCUACAGACACACUACAGCCACCACAGCUCCAGGAAUGUGAUAAUGUUCCUAGUAAGAGCUGGCUGAGGUUGUGAGCCUGAAGCAAUAUGCUUACAAAUACCCGAUCUACACAGAGCUUUUAGAAAGAGUCAAAUGGCUUCAAAGCUUCAGAGAAGCUGCCAUUUUGGUGUCACCUGUGUUUCUUAGUCCCACACCUACUGCAGGGAAAAGAGGAAAAAAAAUCAGUUGGUAUUUGCCUACAUUUCAGCCACAAGGUCCAGCAUUUGCAGAACUUCUGAAGGUCCAUCUCACCUGUUCAACAUCUCACCCCUCCCAAGCAUAGACUGAAAAAUGCCACUUUUCCCCACUAUUAAAUCAAAAGCUGGCUACACCCAUGUGUCAGCUGUUUACCACCCUCUGUUUCCUCCCUUUAGGCAGCUGAUCAGGGAUAAUGACCUAUAUCCUUGAAGCAUUUGUUUUAUUUAGCAUUACAGAGAAGGAGGGUUUAAGGCAACAAGCAACCUAAUAAUAUAACCUUUCCCACCCUAUCUUAUUACAGAGAGAUCAGCUUGCAUCUUCACCUGUGGAAACACAGCAGCUCUGUGAAGGGCCAUGACUUCUUCUGGGCUCUUUCCUACUCUGCUUUUGUCCUAAGCAGAAUGGUUCCAGUGCCUUUCAGUUAAGAUCUUUCACUCAUUCUUUACAUUCAGUGUCGAGUCCCUGGCAAGCCAGAUCAUUCUACAAGCUCUGAAACUGAAGACAGAAAAUCAUCACUGGAAUAUGCUGAUUGGAUCAGAGGUGCAAAGAAAUCAGCUCUCCACUCCAUGAGCCAUCCUCCAGCUCACAGUUGGUACAAAUGGGUGUGACUCAUUGCACAGCCAGAGGUUAUAAUGAAGUAUCCCACUCAUCUUUAACUCACCCUUUGUUCAAGACAAUGCAGAUUGCGGAAGGUUUCUGAGGAGGAGUAUCUGGGAUAAGUUGCUGGGAAGAAGGAAGAAGGAGCACAGUUCUAUUGGAAAGAGUGUCUUGCUGCUGAUUAUGAAAAGGACAUGGAAGUCAUGGCCUGAAUUAAAUAUUUUUUCAUAUUGGAAAAUCAAUGGGAAAACUUCCUGGUAUCAGCAGCUCAUGUGAAGCAGAAGAAGAGAUCCUUUUAUGACAGAGGAAGCGUGUCAAAAUCCAGAGCUAUUCUGAAUCAAUUUGCUCUUUUAAUUGUCUUGUACACACAUCUGUGUCUGCAGCAGAAAUGCUGAGCUCAUGCUACAUGAAAACAAACCACAUAAACUUGAGGAGAUACAAACACAAUUUGUUCCUAACAGAACACACACCCCAGUGUCCUGGCAACUCAUCUCCCUCCCCAGGGGGAAAGAUGCAUGUCCUAUGUCCAGUCUGAGCACCCUGGAGCAGUGACAGGCAAGGGCAGAACUAUUGGAGUACUUGAUUUUUGUAAAACUGCAACAUGGAGCUGUGGCAAUGCCAAAAAUGUCCCUGGUCUGCUCUGGCUCAUUGCUGGAGGGGAGGAACUGUGACUCAAAGGCUGUCCACUGGCAACACAGAAAACUGCACCAAGAGCACUGGUUCAGCUCUGCCGUAUCCAAUUUCUGUCAAGUAUAGAAUAAUAGCUAUCCAGCGAGCUGGGACAUGCUUCACCAGCAUCAAUCGAGUUGUGCUUCAGAGCAUCCCUCGAGGUAGCAAAGAAUUAUCCCCAUUUUAUAAAUGAGGUAACUCAGGCACAGGGAUUAAAGCCAGAAUGUUCCAAACUGGCUGCCUACUGCUAGGUACCUACACCCAUAUUUACGCAACUUGUGGCCUGAUUUUCAGAAGGGCAGGGCGAUGAAAAUUUUGGCCUGAGGGAUUUGUUCACACACAGUUUACUGGUAACAACGCCCAGGAUGGAAGCCUGGUCUCUGCUACCUGUCUUACACCUUAACCACUGAAAACAUCCUUUCUGCCACUAGCCAAGAGUUGGCAAAGGCUCCUGAGUGUCCCCGUUCGCCAUGCAGAGGCUCAGAGUGAGCAAUGCAGGCUGGCUGCCUACGUGCUCUCAGCUAGAGACUUUUAAAGAGCAACAGCAGGAGUAAAACUGGUGAGAUUUCUUUGCUUCCCUCUCAGCUCUUCAGAGCCCAGGCAGCUUUGCUUGACUUGCACUGCUUUGCUAAAACAGAACGUCUGGUGGGUAAACCUCUGUUCUGCCUCACACAUGGCAUCAUCUUUCCCUUCUGUCCCUUCACCAUGUCCUGCUCAGGACACCUCAGCCUGGCAGAGCACAGAUCCAGUGCAGAACCAGUAACAGACCAGUAGGAGAAGGGAGAAAACUGGCCAGACGGAUAUCUGAACUGCUCAAAAAGCACAAGCACCAACAGGAGCAAGUUAAUCUCAGGGCCCCCUCACCUCUCUCCUGCAUUCUCUUUCUGGUCUUUAACUGAGCCUCAGAAAUAGCUCUGAUUUAUGGGAAACUCUUGAGAAGCAAGAAAAUGCAGUAACAAACCUACUCCCGUACUAACAACUAGCAAAACCCAGGAGGCAGAGCACUUGCUGGCUGGCUACAAUAGAGCUUUGCAAGUGUCCCUGCUAAAAUCAUCCCUGCUAGGGGCUAAUGUGAUGCUUGUCUUAGCUUGUUAGAGAGCCUCGCUGUCUUUAGACACGUACUUGAAAAACAGCGCUGGUGGUUGGUUGCUACCUGAGGGAAGAAGGACAAACGAUCUCAGCUGUCUCUGUGGAAUGGUCACUGGUCAGGUCACCUCAAGCCUGACCUGUAAUACCAAGUACAUGCUCCAAAUCCAUUGCUGUCAGCCCUUGUGCUUUGUCUCUUCUAUGGAGCACCAGCCACCCCUGACCUCUUCUUUCCCUUCCUUCAGGCCAUGUCCUGCUCACGAGGCUCCUGCUCAGCUGCUCUGUAACUUCCUCCCACCCAGAGGGAGGACAGGCGAGAGGAGGUGACAACCUUCAGCAAAGGUUAAGGCUGGAAAAGAAGGAAGUGUCAGCUCAAUCAGGUCAGCUCAGCCAACCAACUGCUGCUGUAAUCCCUCUGCCUCAGGUCCCUGCGCUGUUCUGCUCAUGCUCUGAACGAUACUGUAUGAGCAGCAACCUUUACCCUGUCCCCAUGGUACUGUCAGCCUGCAGCAUCCAGACAAGGAGAUGGGGAAAAGGGGUAAAGAGAAAGCAGAUGAUCAUGAGAAUCUCCCAGAACUGUUUCCAGAUCCUCCUUUUGCACUGUUUUGGGAACAUGGACUUUGAGAUGGACUUUACUCCUACUGAAGUUCAGAAGUCCAGACUUGGCACCUUCUGAUUUCUCCAGAAGAAGGCUGAGAGCUAGAUCUCAAUCAAUUCUUAUGCUGAAGCUCAUGUCCAUAUUCACAGCAGACCCAGAAGCGUUGAGAAGUUGACAGUGAAAUGGCCCCAGUUCCUUCUGCCCAGGUCUGAGGUGCCUCUUUUGGGAUGGGAGCAACUGAGUCUCACCAAUCUGUCAGCAACCAGGAGGAAGCCAGGGACUAAAUGCCUCCUAUUCAAUAAAAGUUGGUGCUGCACUUUA